rnacentral:rRNA from 1 species
GAAAAUGCGAUAAGUAAUGUGAAUUGCAGAAUUCAGUGAAUCAUCGAAUCUUUGAACGCACAUUGCGCCCGCCAGUAUUCUGGCGGGCAUGCCUGUUCGAGCGUCAUUACAACCCUCAGGCCCCCGGGCCUGGCGUUGGGGAUCGGCGGAAGCCCCCUG